rnacentral:rRNA from 1 species
UACGGGGGGGGCAAGCGUUGUUCGGAUUUACUGGGCGUAAAGGGCGCGCAGGCGGCCGCAUUUGUCAGGCGUGAAAUCCCACGGCUCAACCGUGGAAGUGCACUCGAAACUGCGUAGCUAGAGUCCUGGAGAGGAAGGUGGAAUGCUUGGUGUAGAGGUGAAAUUCGUAGAUAUCAAGCGGAACACCGGUGGCGAAGGCGGCCUUCUGGACGAUGACUGACGCUGAGACACGAAAGCGUGGGGAGCAAACAGG